CACCUCUCCAAAUUCACGCGAACGCCUUCUUGAAUGUUCUGCUGGCUUGUUUCACACAGAUUACUGUAUUCUCCACAUUAGAAAACACACAGACAGCAGUGAAUAUGAGGAAGUGACUCCUUAAUUAUCACAGGAAGCAGACGCUGUAUUAUUUUUCAAGAAGCAGCUCAUGAGAUACUUUGACAGAUGAUAGUGAGACCGACAGAAAAGAAUAAUGGUUGAAUACAGAUGGAUUACUUUUUCUUUAUUUCUGAUGCUUGUGUUUAAUUUUCCAGCAGCAACUUGGACACAUUCCUCCUUCAAUGCCAGAGUUGGAGAUGAAGUCACUUUGUCUUGUGAAAAUAUGAUAGUUGAUCAGGAUAAGUGUGACAGUAUUAACUGGGUCUUUGGUGAUACAAGAAAAAUAGUAACGCUGUUUGCACGUGGGCAGAUUCACAGAGCCAACACUAAAUCAGACAGACUGAGUGUUACACAGAACUGUUCUCUGGUUGUGAAAAAUGUCACAGCUGAGGAUGUUGGUUACUACACCUGCAGAAGGUUCAUAUCAGGAAACCGUCGAGAUGCUCAUGUGUAUCUCUCUGUUAUUACCAGUAAGGCUGCAACAACGACAACUACAAUAUCACCAACAACCAUUAAAUCAACACCGACAACAGGAAACAUAUGGACAACAAUGCAAAUCAGCACAUCAGAAGGGACAAAAGAUACAGCAUCUACAAACAAACAUAAUGGAACAAAACAAGGUGAUGCUGCAACAAUGGCAACUACAGUAUCACCAACAACAAUGAAAUCAACAUCGACAACAGGACACAUAUGGACAACAGUGAAAAUGAGCACAUCAGAAGGGACAAAAGAUACAGCAUCUACAAACAACAAUAAUGAAACAGAACAAGUGUGGUGGCGGUUCGUCAUUGUGUUUGUGGCACUCUCAGCACUCUUAAUAAUCCUUCUGGUUGUCACCAGAUGGAAUAGAAAUAAAGGAGAAAAAAAACAGAUGGAUGAAAACAUGGAGCACAAUGACAAAGAUGAAGAUGAUGGUAUUGUGAACUAUGUAAACGUUGGAGACCCUUCUGUCUCUGUCAGACUCUGA
rnacentral:lncRNA from 1 species